AACAGGAUUAGAUACCCGGGUAGUCCACGCCCUAAACGAUGUCAACUAGCUGUUGGGGCCUUCGGGCCUUGGUAGCGCAGCUAACGCGUGAAGUUGACCGCCUGGGGAGUACGGUCGCAAGAUUAAAACUCAAAGGAAUUGACGGGGACCCGCACAAGCGGUGGAUGAUGUGGAUUAAUUCGAUGCAACGCGAAAAACCUUACCUACCCUUGACAUGUCUGGAAUGCCGAAGAGAUUUGGCAGUGCUCGCAAGAGAACCGGAACACAGGUGCUGCAUGGCUGUCGUCAGCUCGUGUCGUGAGAUGUUGGGUUAAGUCCCGCAACGAGCGCAACCCUUGUCAUUAGUUGCUACGAAAGGGCACUCUAAUGAGACUGCCGGUGACAAACCGGAGGAAGGUGGGGAUGACGUCAAGUCCUCAUGGCCCUUAUGGGUAGGGCUUCACACGUCAUACAAUGGUCGGGACAGAGGGUCGCCAACCCGCGAGGGGGAGCCAAUCCCAGAAACCCGAUCGUAGUCCGGAUCGCAGUCUGCAACUCGACUGCGUGAAGUCGGAAUCGCUAGUAAUCGCGGAUCAGCAUGUCGCGGUGAAUACGUUCCCGGGUCUUGUACACACCGCCCGUCACACCAUGGGAGUGGGUUUUACCAGAAGUAGUUAGCCUAACCGCAAGGGGGGCGAUUACCACGGUAGGAUUCAUGACUGGGGUGAAGUCGUAACAAGGUAGCC
rnacentral:rRNA from 1 species